rnacentral:rRNA from 1 species
UACGUAGGGUGCGAGCGUUAAUCGGAAUUACUGGGCGUAAAGCGUGCGCAGGCGGUUAUGCAAGACAGAUGUGAAAUCCCCGGGCUCAACCUGGGAACUGCAUUUGUGACUGCAUAACUAGAGUACGGUAGAGGGGGAUGGAAUUCCGCGUGUAGCAGUGAAAUGCGUAGAUAUGCGGAGGAACACCGAUGGCGAAGGCAAUCCCCUGGACCUGUACUGACGCUCAUGCACGAAAGCGUGGGGAGCAAACAGG